rnacentral:lncRNA from 1 species
AUGUUUUUUAUUCAGUUAUUAAUAUAUUACACUAAAUUAUACAUUUUCCUGUUGCUCUUAUACCAAGUCAUAAACCUAUAAUGAAGAGGAAAUUACACUCCCCCCUCUAAGAGAAACUUUAACUAGCAAGGUCUCAAAGUAGGACAAGUGAAGGCUGGGAGUUGUUAGUGUCACUCCCUAGCUAUGUGUUAUUUUGCUUGUGAUUUGCCUAGUCUGUUGAUUUUCAAUCAGUAGUUCUGCACAAUUUGUCAAGGGUAUGAGGGUUGGAAUGAUAAACAUCAUACUCCUGGGGGACUCCUAGUCCUUCUACUUUAAGUAACGUCAAUGCCUCAAUGGUGACAAUGGAACUUUGUGAAAACUUUUUUACUUGUAAAUACCAAGAAAAUACUAUCUAAAUAAACAGUAUUGAAGAAUAGGACAAAUAUAAUUUUAGGGAUUUUUUUGAUUAAACAUUAGUGGAACGGUGUAAAACAGUGAGGGGAGGUAAUUGAAGGUGUAAUUCUAAUUUAUCUUUUUAAUUAGAAUGAUUUUCUCAUUUUUCUAUAUAAUUUCUAAUCAAUUGGUAAAUUAAUUAUCAGUCCCUGACCACAAUCUGGCCAGUUUGGUAACCAUCCAGGUUUGCUCAAUAAUAUUCAUUCUUGUUUGGUCAAGUACUGUACUGUUACCAUAGCAGUAUAGUACUGUCAAAGUGCUCAAGAACAAUUAUGUCCUUAGGCAUCUAAGAUUCUCGUGAACUGGAAAAGGCACAUCUCAUCCCCCAGAAUGAACAUCUUAGCUGGAUAGAGGGUAGUAGGGCACUACGGUUUCUUUUAUUCCUCUAUUGACAUUAAUUAUAGUGUGUAGUGGAUUCUACAUAUCUCAUUCUGUCUAUCAUUCUUUUGUUGGUGCAAAAGUUGUAUUACGUGGUUACUUGAUACUAAUGAUUAGUUUUGCUACUGCAAUUUAAGGCACCUUUGGUUUUGGAUGACUUGUCUAUCAUUCUUUUGUUGGUGCAAAAGUUGUAUUACGUGGUUACUUGAUACUAAUGAUUAGUUUUGCUACUGCAAUUUAAGGCACCUUUGGUUUUGGAUGACUUGUCUACUGCAGGAAUGGGCUGAAACCUUUGGGGGUGUUUCUCUGCUGGAUGCCUUGUUCAAGGCCGUUGAUGAGGUGAGUUUCAUU